UACGUAGGGGGCUAGCGUUGUCCGGAUUUAUUGGGCGUAAAGAGCGUGUAGGCGGCCAGGUAGGUCUGCUGUGAAAACUCGAGGCUUAACCUCGAGAUGUCGGUGGAAACCAUCUGGCUAGAGUUCGGAAGAGGAGAGUGGAAUUCCUGGUGUAGCGGUGAAAUGCGCAGAUAUCAGGAAGAACACCCGUGGCGAAGGCGGCUCUCUGGGACGGUACUGACGCUGAGACGCGAAAGCGUGGGGAGCGAACAGG
rnacentral:rRNA from 1 species